rnacentral:rRNA from 1 species
AGUGAACGCUGGCGGCAGGCCUAACACAUGCAAGUCGAACGGCAGCACAAGAGAGCUUGCUCUCUGGGUGGCGAGUGGCGGACGGGUGAGGAAUGCAUCGGAAUCUGCCCAUUUGUGGGGGAUAACCUCGGGAAACCGGGACUAAUACCGCAUACGACCUACGGGGGAAAGCAGGGGAUCUUCGGACCUUGCGCAGAUGGAUGAGCCGAUGCCGGAUUAGCUAGUUGGAGGGGUAAAGGCCCACCAAGGCGACGAUCAGUAGCUGGUCUGGGAGAAUGAUCAGCCCCACUGGGACUGGAACACGGCCCAGACUCCUACGGGAGGCAGCAGUGGGGAAUAUUGGACAAUGGGAGCAAGCCUGAUCCAGCCAUGCCGCGUGUGUGAAGAAGGCCUUCGGGUUGUAAAGCACUUUUGUUGGGAAAGAAAAGCAGCCGGUUAAUACCCGGUUGUCAUGACGGUACCCAAAGAAUAAGCACCGGCUAACUUCGUG